CACCGGUCCACUUCCGGGUUGCGCAUUAUGUCACCAUAACAACGCUAAUGACGGAUUGACAUCUGGUGCGGAGAGUUUGAUGUUGGGAUCUGUGAGAGGAUUGUGGAGGCGGAGUAACCAUAUAAAAAGGAAGUACAGAGACCAUGAAGGGGGUGAUUCCUACUGGUUGUUCGUUCUCCCGGUUGUUCUUCCUGGUUGUCCAUUCUUCGGAUGUGUUCCCCUGAGAGAAGUGGAUUCCUUUGACGGUUGGGCUGGCGCGCGAAGGUAUCUGAAGAUUGUUGCGGGGUUCGGCUGUGCGACAGAUAUAACGGCCAUCGAGUGGAGAUAUUGAGGACGGAAAGAGAGUGAGUUAUGAGGACCAAGUGAAGACCAAGCCGCGCCAUCAUCAUCGGAGGGAAGAUAAGUAAUAUGGUCUUGGAAUUCGAUUGAAUGCAUGCACCUGCACUGAGACUGAUAUAAAGUUCUGAAGUGGAUUGAUCACGAGGGUUGUGUCACUGGAGAGUGCGUGGAUUAAGUGAUCAUUUGAACUCCUGUCUUCUCCUUCGAGUGUGGGCGAGAAGCGCUCUGUCCCGGGGUCAGUAAGGAGGCAUUCACGCUUCCUCGUUAUUUGGUGAGACCCGAUCCAGCCCGACAGUGGAAGGAGCAAGCGUUGGAUUGAAGGAUCCUCCUGGCCAAGCGCCGUAUGUGAUGUCGCUGUGAAGGGAGGUGGACAUCAGAAAUAUUCCUUUCCUCGUCUUGACCGAAGCAUCUCCCAGCCGUAAGCCUCAUCACUCAUUCGAAGAACAUAUACUUGUUGUUGACUACUUACUCUGUUGUGCAGAUCGAAGGAUCCUCCGGACCAAGUGUCGUAUGUGAAGUUGGCUGUAACGAGAGGUGGACAUUAAGAAAUAUUCCUUGCAUCGUCUGGACCAAAGCAUCUAUAAAUUCUACUUACCAGGAUACUCCCCCACUCAGUGGACGGGUGGCCGACUCCUCUUCUCCCUUACCGGCCACGUACAGGCACGAGCUGCCGAAGAGAACUCCACGCCCUCCCGGCGUCCGAGGUCCGAUCCCGUUCUGGUUGGGAGACACAGAAUUAGCACUGAGACUUUUAAUUGAUUUUAACUAAAUAAACCUUGUCAAACUUUUACUCUCUCGUCUGUCUGGUUUUCCUGGUACGCUCCUCGAGGUGGUCCUGGGUUUCAGGGGUGGGUGCAGUCUGGCUUGACCCCCCCGACCUGUGACAUUAAUUUAUAAAGUAAUGCAUUACUUUACUCGUUACUCCAGAAAAGUAAUAUUACGUAAUGCACGUUACUUGUAACGCGUUACCCCCAACACUGUUAAUGACCUUAAUCGUGUUGAGCAUAAAGGGAUUGGGCAACAUUUUAGGUGAUUAUUUUGGUUUUAUAUUUAUCACUUUCCUCUUUAGUGAGGUGGUUGGCUUUCAUAGCCCAGCAACACAAGGUCUCUCCCCCUUCACGAGGCAGCUCGUCUUGUGGCUGUUACAACGUUUCUGCUCUCUGUGAAGUGGCUGGCUCUAGAAGUUCAUUCAAUUAGAUUCUCAAGAGGUAUAAGCAUUUUAUGUAAAUGAUAAUGGUUACAAAGAUAUUGUUUUGAUGUAUGCAUGGACAUUUUAAAUAUUGAAUGUUGUCUAUUUGCAGACUCUGGCUAGAUUGUCGUAUCCGAGAGCCACUGUUUUCUUUCCCACUUUAUUUUCACUGUUUUUGUUUUGUUAGUUUCUUUUCUUUAUCAGUCCUGUGAGGUAGAACCUUACUUAUCAACGUAUAGUCACAUUGCGGGGAUCAUCCAGAGUAUUAAUUGUUUUAUAUUUCUUUUUCCACGUACAGAAGUUUUCUUUGCCUAGGUGGUUGAGUUUCUUAUUUGGUUGAUUAUUUCCUUUGAGUGCAUUUAAGUUUGCUCGGUUUUGUCGUGUUUAAAUUAGUUGUUCUGUACUGGGGUUAUUGGAUGUAUUUCUUUUACUUUUGGUCCCUUAUACAUGUUGACUGUUGAUGUAACCUCUAGUGGACUACAGUCGUGUCUAUUGCCUCUUAAAUGUUAGACCCUUUUUUCUAUUUAUAAUAAAUUGUGAAGAUUUAAAUAUUUCAA